rnacentral:misc_RNA from 1 species
UCCUGGUUUCCCAGGCAGUCCCAUUAGAGUGCCUUAUCAAAGAUAAGUAGCAACUAAUAGCAAGGGUUGCGCUCGUUAAAGGACUUAACCCAACAUCUCACGACACGAGCUGACGACAGCCAUGCAGCACCUGUUCUAGUGUCUGAACCGAAGCCCAGAAAACUGCGUUUCUGCAGCGGUCACUAGUAUGUCAAACCCAGGUAAGGUGCCUCGCGUAGUGUCGAAUUAAACCACAUGUUCCACCGCUUGUGCGGACCCCCGUCAAUUCCUUUAAGUUUUAGUCUUGCGACCGUACUCCCCAGGCGAACCACUUAACGCGUUAGCUACGACACUGAUCCGGCGAACCAGACCAACAUCUAGUGGUUAUCGUUUACAGCGUGGACUAC